AUCCACUCUUUGAUUAUUGUUUAUUAAUAAUGAUUAUUUAACUUGUAUGUGAGACUUGGUGCCCACGUAGCAUAGGGAUGACUAUACUAGAAUGAGAUGUUUCUAGUUUUGCUUGCAGUGCCUUUGCAACACUCUGUCAAUACACAACAGUGAUUUCAGGCAACUUUACAAAUGUUUCUUCUACCGGCAUUCUGGGAUUUGGAGGUCAAACUAAACAAACUGCCAUGAUUUUGCUCUUGGCUUCCAUUCACUUUGCCAGGGCCAUUUUUGAACCCUGAUGAUGACUCCUGAGCAGUAGAGAGCAAGAUACCAAGACAGGUUGAUCCAGGAUGCUGGCAUGACUUUUGUAUCCAGUUCUGUAGCUCACAGCUGUGGGAUGGUUGAAGAAAAUCGGCACUCUUUUCUUUCAGAAGCUGAUGUCAUUUCAGAGAGGCCAGAAUGUCAGAGCUGUCAAUUAAAUGAUGUCCAUGAAUUGUGAUGAAGCUCCUGUGAUUAAGAUCCUGUCCCCUAGAGGAAAAUGAGAGAGGCUUGGGAAAAUCUGGUAAUGUAUGGAGCAGAAGCAGGUGCUAUGGGGCGACUCCUGUGAAAUGCUAAGCACCUCCGAGCGGUCAUGUGCCCUAUACUCCCAUUGACUUCAAAAGGAGCUGAUCUAAAGGGAGUGGAACCAUUCCUGUUGACUUCAGUGAGCUUGGAAUUAGCACCAUAAGAACCAUGAAGGAGGCAGUGGGCAACUUUCCAGGACUGAGCCCUAUGAGAUGAGGCAGCUUUAGCAAUGUACUGGAAUGAAGGUUUGAUCAUUUAUAUGGCUGAGGUGUAGAAGAGUGGUUACAUAUAGAAUCAGAAAUCUGCCAGACCUGAAUGUAUCAUAUAUCUACGGUUACUUGGCUGCCUGCCUUCUAGAAGAUAGAGAAAUGUUAACCUAUCAGUGCAAAUCUCUUAACUGUAACUGAAAAAAUCCUUUGAAAACGAAA